UUGUCCUACGGGAGGCAGCAGUGGGGAAUAUUGGGCAAUGGGCGCAAGCCUGACCCAGCAACGCCGCGUGAAGGAAGAAGGCUUUCGGGUUGUAAACUUCUUUUAUCAGGGACGAAGCAAGUGACGGUACCUGAUGAAUAAGCCACGGCUAACUACGUGCCAGCAGCCGCGGUAAUACGUAGGUGGCAAGCGUUAUCCGGAAUUAUUGGGUGUAAAGGGUGCGUAGACGGGAUGUCAAGUUAGUUGUGAAAUACCUCGGCUCAACUGAGGGACUGCAACUAAAACUAACAUUCUUGAGUGCAGGG
rnacentral:rRNA from 1 species